rnacentral:rRNA from 1 species
CGUUCUGUAAGCCGAUGAAGGUGUGUUGAGAAGCAUGCUGGAGGUAUCAGAAGUGCGAAUGCUGACGUGAGUAACGACAAAACGGGUGAAAAACCCGUUCGCCGAAAGACCAAGGGUUCCAGUCCAACGUUAAUCGGGGCUGGGUGAGUCGACCCCUAAGGCGAGGCCGAAAGGCGUAGUCGAUGGGAAAAUGGUUAAUAUUCCAUUACUUCUGUGUAAUGCGAUGAGAGGACGGAGAAGGCUAAAUCAGCCUGGCGUUGGUUGUCCAGGUGAAAGGAUGUAGGCAUGUAUCUUAGGCAAAUCCGGGGUACUCUAUGCUGAGAUCUGAUAGCAAGCUGUACUUGUACAGCGAAGUGGUUGAUGCCAUGCUUCCAGGAAAAGUCUCUAAGCUUCAGUUACACAGGAAUCGUACCCGAAACCGACACAGGUGGUCAGGUCGAGUAGACCAAGGCGCUUGAGAGAACUCUGCUGAAGGAACUAGGCAAAAUGGUACCGUAACUUCGGGAGAAGGUACGCUGUUGUUGGUGAUGGAACUCGCUUCCUGAGCUGACGACAGCCGCAGAAACCAGGCCGCUGCAACUGUUUAUUAAAAACAUAGCACUCUGCAAACACGAAAGUGGACGUAUAGGGUGUGAUGCCUGCCCGGUGCUGGAAGGUUAAUUGAUGGGGUUAGCGUAAGCGAAGCUCUUGAUCGAAGCCCCAGUAAACGGCGGCCGUAACUAUAACGGUCCUAAGGUAGCGAAAUUCCUUGUCGGGUAAGUUCCGACCUGCACGAAUGGCAUAAUGAUGGCGGCGCUGUCUCCAGCAGAGGCUCAGUGAAAUCGAAAUCGCUGUGAAGAUGCAGUGUACCCGCGGCUAGACGGAAAGACCCCGUGAACCUUUACUGCAGCUUGACACUGAACUUUGACCUUACUUGUGUAGGAUAGGUGGGAGGCUUUGAAGCUGGAACGCUAGUUCCAGUGGAGCCGUCCUUGAAAUACCACCCUGGUAAUGUUGAGGUUCUAACUCUGUCCCGUGAUCCGGGACGAGGACCGUGUCUGGUGGGUAGUUUGACUGGGGCGGUCUCCUCCUAAAGAGUAACGGAGGAGUACGAAGGUGCGCUCAGCGUGGUCGGAAAUCACGCGUAGAGUAUAAAGGCAAAAGCGCGCUUAACUGCGAGACCCACAAGUCGAGCAGGUACGAAAGUAGGUCUUAGUGAUCCGGUGGUUCUGUAUGGAAGGGCCAUCGCUCAACGGAUAAAAGGUACUCUGGGGAUAACAGGCUGAUACCGCCCAAGAGUUCAUAUCGACGGCGGUGUUUGGCACCUCGAUGUCGGCUCAUCUCAUCCUGGGGCUGAAGCAGGUCCCAAGGGUAUGGCUGUUCGCCAUUUAAAGAGGUACGCGAGCUGGGUUUAGAACGUCGUGAGACAGUUCGGUCCCUAUCUACCGUGGGCGCUGGAAAUUUGAGAGGAUCUGCUCCUAGUACGAGAGGACCAGAGUGGACGAACCUCUGGUGUACCGGUUGUGACGCCAGUCGCAUCGCCGGGUAGCUAUGUUCGGAAGGGAUAACCGCUGAAAGCAUCUAAGCGGGAAGCCUACCUCAAGAUAAGAUUUCCCUAGGACUUUAUGUCCUCUAAAGAGCCGUUCGAGACUAGGACGUUGAUAGGUUGGAUGUGGAAGCAUAGUGAUAUGUGAAGCUGACCAAUACUAAUUGCUCGUGAGGCUUGACUAU